GGGCCAUGGCUUAGUGGUAGAGCAUGAUGUGCUUUGCAUGCAGAAGGUGCCAGGUUCAUUCCUUGGCAUGUCCA